rnacentral:lncRNA from 1 species
GAUGGAUUAGAGGGAGAAAGUUCCCCAUGAAACGGACGGGAACUGGCAUACGGGAUAAGAGGGAGAGAGAAAGAGAGGGAUGUCGGUGGGCGGAGCCAGGAGGGUCGUUAGCGAAACGGGACUCACCUGGGCUUGGGUGUGUCCCGGAGAUAAAUACACCUUUCCCCCAUACAUUGAAGAGACUCUCUCCACAUAGACACUGUUGUUUUUGGUUCUGGCGAUUUGGGGCUUCUUUGUGUUCAUUUGUUUUGGCACCUCUCAACACCCCUCAUUAUCACCAUCUAUGCGCACAACCACUCACACUACUGACUAC